GUGCCAGCCGCCGCGGUAAUACAGAGGUCUCAAGCGUUGUUCGGAAUCACUGGGCGUAAAGGGUGCGUAGGCUGCGCCGUAAGUCAGAUGUGAAAGCUCAGGGCUCAACCCUGAAAUUGCAUCCGAUACUGCGGUGCUUGAGAAAUGAAGGGGAGUCUAGAAUUUUCGGUGUAGCAGUGAAAUGCGUAGAUAUCGAAAGGAAUACCAAAGGCGAAGGCAGGACUCUGGGCAUUUUCUGACGCUGAUGCACGAAGGCCAGGGUAGCGAACGGGAUUAGAUACCCCGGUAGUCC
rnacentral:rRNA from 1 species